UAUUCUUAAGCGGGUUAUACUCUUAUGAAUUAAGUAAAAAUGUAUACUUGUAGGGGGUACAGGAAACUGGGAACUUGAACUAGCAAACGAAACGAUAAACAUUAAAUAUUAACAGCAUUUUCGAUGGCAUGUUAGGCGCGGCCCAAGAGAAAGACGUCGCUGAAACCGCAACAGUUAAGAGCAAUGGCCAUCUGAGCAUCCAGCAGAAAUUGCGGCACUAGAUAUUUGGCCAUUAAUCUAGAUGAGCGACACGUUUGGGCCAGGGCCCUCAGACUUUAUAAGAGCCAAGCUGUCGGGGGCCAGAACUCAGAAAACCACAAAAUGGAGAGUCUGCGCUGCAAGAUCCUACAGACGGCUGUGCUGCUGGUACUGGUAGCGUUCCAGAUCGGAGCGGAGCAUCUGGGCAGCGAAGAUUGCGGGUGCGGCAGGCGAGGAUGAGCGGGAUGCGGGAUGUGGGAUGACAUCUCCAGAAGAAAUUCACCAGAACAUCAAUAAACAAGCGACGAGCAAUGCACUACAUUUUU
rnacentral:sRNA from 1 species